UAAUACGGAGGGAGCAAGCGUUACUCGGAAUUAUUGGGCGUAAAGGGCGCGUAGGCGAUGAGGCAAGUCUGCUGUGAAAGCCCCCGGCUUAACCGGGGAAGUGCAGAAGAUACUGCUUCAUUUGAGUUCCGGAGAGGAAGGCAGAAUUCCCGGUGUAGCGGUGAAAUGCGUAGAGAUCGGGAGGAAUACCAGUGGCGAAGGCGGCCUUCUGGACGGAUACUGACGCUGAGGCGCGAAAGCUAGGGGAGCAAACGGGAUUAGAUACCCCGGUAGUCCUAGCCGUAAACGAUGUAUGCUUGGUGUGAGCCGGUUUUCGGUUCGUGCCGUAGUUAACGCAAUAAGCAUACCGCCUGGGGAGUACGGUCGCAAGGCUG
rnacentral:rRNA from 1 species